UGGGGUAUCGCCAAGCGGUAAGGCAGCGGCUUUUGAUGCCGCCAUUCCCUGGUUCGAAUCCAGGUACCCCAG
rfam:Enterovibrio coralii strain CAIM 912 contig00078, whole genome shotgun sequence.